rnacentral:lncRNA from 1 species
UGUGCAGAGCACUGUACUAAGCGCCUGGAACGUACAAUCCGGCAACAGAUAGGGACAGUCCCUGCCCAAGGACGGGCUCACAGUCUAAUCGGGGGAGACGCGGACGGCGGAGCGAAACAGAACGAAACAAAAACAACAUUAGCACGAUAAAUAGAAUCAAGGGGAUGUACACCUCAUUCGUAGAAUAAAUAGGGUAAUAAAUAAUAUACACAAAUGAGCACGGUGCGGAGGGGAGGGAGGCGGGGAGGAGCAGAGGGAAAGGCUGUGUGACCCUGGGCAACUCAUAUAGCGGCCCCAUAUUUGAUAGGGAGGUGGUGCCUGCUCUGAUUUUACUGAUUUGACCACAGUGCUUGGCACAGAGUAAUCACUUACCGCAAUUAUUAUUAGAGGAGAGCUGUGAUGGUAAAACUAAGAUUAGGCCCUAUUCCCAGAAGAAGGAAGUUGUCCACGGCAUCAGAGGUAACUGAAAAGUCAAGGAUUAGGCGAGAGUUCCAUAGAUUUGGCGCUUAGCACACAGAGUAAUCCUUAUCAAAUGUGAUAAUAAUAAUAAUGAUGAUUAUUAUUAGUACUACCAAUAACGAGGGCAUCGGUAACCUCGAGAAUGUCAAUCUCAGGGAACUAAGAGGGUGGUGACCAGAUGGUAGGGGGUCAGAAACGGAGCUUGAGGAACGGAAGUGGCAGAAGGGGGUGUGUACAAUCUGUCCAAGGAGUUUGGACAAGAAGGAGAGUAGGUUUUUUAUUUGGUUUUUGUUCUUUUCUUGGGACAGAGAAGCCUGGAAUCCUCCGAAGGCAAAAACACUCAGAACAGCGCUCUGCACACAGUACGCUCUCAGUAAAUACCGGAGACUGA